rnacentral:rRNA from 1 species
CAUGUCUUUAUGAUAAUAAUUUAAAGUCUAAUCUGCUCAAUGAUUAUUUAAAUAGCCGCAGUAUUUUGACUGUGCAAAGGUAGCAUAAUAAUUAGUUUCUUUAUUGGGAGCUAGAAUGAAUGAUUGGACGAGAUGAUUUCUGUCUCUUUUUAAUUUUUUUUGAAUUUAAUUUUUAAGUUAAAAAGCUUAAAUUUGUAUAAAAGACGAGAAGACCCUAUAGAGUUUAAUAUUAUUUAUUAAUUGGUUUUUAGAAUUUUUUUUAUUAUUUAGUAUUUGGUUGGGGUGACUAGGAGAUUAAAAUAAUUCUUUUAUUAUAAGUUGUUGAUAAAUAAAUAAUAAAUCUAUUUUUUUAAAUUAAAUAUAAAUUACCUUAGGGAUAACAGCGUAAUUUUUUUUAAAAGUUCUUAUUGUAAGAAAAGUUUGCGACCUCGAUGUUGGAUUAAAAUUAAAUUUUGGUGUAGAAGCUAAAAAUUUUGGUCUGUUCGACCAUUGAAAUUUUACAUGAUCUGAGUUUAGACCGGCGUAAGCCAGGUCGGAUUCUAUCUUUAAUUAAUUAAAAAUUCUUAGUACGAAAGGACCAGGGUUUUAUUAAAUAUUAAUUG